rnacentral:rRNA from 1 species
CGGUAAUUCCAGCUCCAAUAGCGUAUACUAAAGUUGUUGCAGUUAAAAAGCUCGUAGUUGGAUUUCUGCGGGGACGGAGCGGCCGGACGCAACUUGCGUCUCGAGCUAGCGCUUUCCCCGCAUCCUGCCGCGAACCGUGCUACCAUUAGUUUGGUGGCGCUGGGGAUCGGCUCGAUUACUUUGAGAAAAAUAGAGUGUUCAAAGCAGGCCACACGCCUUGAAUAAGUUAGCAUGGAAUAAUGACUAAGGACUUUGGUUCUUUUCGUUGGUGUUCGGGACUGAAGUAAUGAUUGAUAGGGACAGUUGGGGCGGUCCGUAUUCCAAAGCGAGAGGUGAAAUUCUUAGACUUUCGGAAGACAAACAGCUGCGAAAGCGUUCCGCAAGGAUGUUCCCUUUGAUCAAGAACGAAAGUUGGGGGAUCGAAGACGAUCAGAUACCGUCGUAGUCUCAACUAUAAACUAUACCAGCUAGGGAUCGGUCAACGUUUAAUUAUUCGACUUGAUCGGCACCUUAUGAGAAAUCAAAGCAUCUGGGUUCCGGGGGGAGUAUGGUCGCAAGGCUGAAACUUAAAGGAAUUGACGGAAGGGCACCACCAGCCGUGGAGCCUGUGGCUUAAUUUGACUCAACACGGGAAAACUUACCAGGUCCAGACAUAGUAAGGAUUGACAGAUUGAUAGCUCUUUCUUGAUUCUGUGGGUGGUGGUGCAUGGCCGUUCUUAGUUGGUGGAGUGAUUUGUCUGGUUAAUUCCGUUAACGAACGAGACCCCAGCCUGCUAAAUAGUGCGGCUGAGCUUUGCUCGGUGCGAGCUUCUUAGAGGGACUAUGAUGCGCGAUAGCACAUGGAAGUUUGGGGCAAUAACAGGUCUGUGAUGCCCUUAGAUGUUCUGGGCCGCACACGCGCUACACUGAUGCGUUCACCGAGCUCCUAACCUACUCCGGAAGGAUUGGGCAACCUUGUGAAAGCGCAUCGUGAUGGGGAUAGAUUAUUGCAAUUAUUAAUCUUGAACGAGGAAUUCCUAGUAAGCGUAAGUCAUCAGCUUGCGCUGAUUACGUCCCUGCCCUUUGUACACACCGCCCGUCGCUCCUACCGAUUGAGUGGUCCGGUGAAUAAUUCGGAUUGCAGUUUAUUUCAGAUUUGGGAUUUACUGCGAGAAGUUUAGUAAACCUUAUCACUUAGAGGAAGGAGAAGUCGUAACAAGGUAACC